GGCUCGAUGGUCUAGUGGUAUGAUUCUCGCUUCGGGCGAAAGUCCUCUGCAUUGCACUUGAAUAUGUGAGAGGUCCCGGGUUCAAAUCCCGGUCGAGUCC
rnacentral:tRNA from 1 species